AACAUCUGGAGGGCCACGGACACCCGUGAUGGCUGCGUGGUGUGAGGUGUGGUCACUUCCUGCUAUUAAACGCUGAGGUGAAUCAGGCGGAGUUCGCAGUGCAUCGCCUUGGAGUUCAAGCAGCAAACUCGUCUUCUAAGGGUGGAGUUGAAGGGAUCAUUUUGCAAGGUCCACGAAGACAGCAUGGGCAGUAGUCUGUCCAAAGAUAAACGCUCCAAGAGUAACCAUGAAGAUUCCAUAGCUGACCAAGGCCCACCAGCUGUGGAAACAGGAAGACAGGAUCAGGCACCAUGUCAGGGAGAGGGACUGCCAGGUUAUUAAGAGGAAAAGGAAAUGGAGGCGAUGCUCUAAGAAGAAUUCCUCUUCUUGUUGGAGGAAGCUGACAAGUUUUGUUCUCCCUUCUAUUUGGGAAUUUCCCUUACCAACUAGCUAUCUCCAUGUUUUAAUCGAGGCCAGAUUGCGCCGAGCCUUGAACUGGCCAGAUGUAAUGUGUUACCCUCUGCUCUUAGACAGGGGAGCGUCUUGGGAAUUGCCCAUCAUGAGAGAACGUGUUCCUGUGGAACUGGGGGUGAAGAGUUCUUCAUGUUCUACUGUAUUGCCCCCUUUACAUCAGGCCUAGGAGCAAAUAUUUAGAACCCUUACUGAUGGGUCUUGAAGAUUCCUUUUGAAUGGUGAUUGCAAGGAGAUUCUGGAGCCGGUAGGAAAAAUUUUAUGUGUUGUCAUUGACAAACGUGCAUAAAGGGGUUGAUUGUAUGCUGCUAUAGUGUUAUUAUGCCAACAAAGGUUAAUUGAAUUGAAAUGGAGGUGAUA